rnacentral:rRNA from 1 species
GGUGAGCGCUAGCUACAGGCUUAACACAUGCAAGUCGAGGGGCAGCACAGUGUAGCAAUACAUGGGUGGCGACCGGCGCACGGGUGCGUAACGCGUAUCCAACCUUCCCGUUACUCAGGGAUAGCCUUCCGAAAGGGAGAUUAAUACCUGAUGGUGUUGAAAUUCCGCAUGUUAUUUCAACUAAAGAUUUAUCGGUAACGGAUGGGGAUGCGUGACAUUAGGUAGAUGGCGGGGUAACGGCCCACCAUGCCUACGAUGUCUAGGGGUUCUGAGAGGAAGGUCCCCCAAACUGGAACUGAGACACGGUCCAGACUCCUACGGGAGGAAGCAGUGAGGAAUAUUGGUCAAUGGUCGGAAGACUGAACCAGCCAAGUAGCGUGAAGGAUGAAGGUUCUAUGGAUUGUAAACUUCUUUUAUACGGGAAUAAAACCUCCCACGUGUGGGAGCUUGUAUGUACCGUAUGAAUAAGCAUCGGCUAACUCCGUGCCAGCCGCCGCCGUAAAAC